GUUGGGCUUCCAGCCGCUCCAAAUCACCUCCUGGGUCCAUGUGACCGACCCCUGCAUCCAGACAUGUAGGAGGUGGGGAGGUGAGGCAGCAUGAUGGGGCUACUGCUGAAGAGGCCUGGAGACGAGGAGGCUCAGAAGCCUCUGAGUUCCAGGGCAGAUCAGCUUCCAGCUGGCUCAGGCCCACCUAAAGAUGCGGGAUGGCCAAUUCCACACUGGAGGGUCAACAGCUGUGAGUCCACAGAGAUUGCCCGACCAAGAGCACUCAGUUCAACACUGAGGCAGAAUGUCUUCCAGUAUAAGGGGGAGUCGACAGAUAGACCCCAAACUCCAGUGGCCAGACUGAUCUGGGGCUGAUGGGAGAGAGAGCACAAAAGAGUUUCCACAAAGAUAUCACCCAAAAGAUGGAGGUUACAGGAGUCAAAGAAAAGUCUCCUUCCUAUGUGAGAAGCUGUGUCCUCGUGGAUGAUCCGGAGUACAGGAGUAGCUUUCAGGAGAGCCAAAAACGUUGGGCGUCAAAAUGUUAUGGGCGAUAAGGAUACCUUUUGCAAGAAUGCAAGACUCCAAAACUUAUCUUAAAAACAAAAAGAGAAAUUUAUUAAUUUAGAAAAUAAUGUUGAGAAUGGCCAGGAGAAUAGCAAGGUGGGACAGCAAGAUGGGGAGCAGUUCCUUGGGAGAACAGCAUGAAUGGAAAGGCUGUUCCUCCAUGGGGACAGGAUGGAUGGAAAAGCUGUCCCCCUAUCCAUUACUUUUAAAGAAAGACAAGAAACCAAUCUAAGAGCUCCGAAACCAGAAAUCUGUGCCUACAAUUAUGAUUUUCCCUUUGAAAAAACAAUUUUCUUUAUAUUCUUUUUAAUCUAUUAUGCCGAGGAGGUGUGACUAUAAGUUAAUUGAUUUUUUCAAGAUUUAUUCAAUAGUUUUUAAAAUUCUCAUGAAUUACCAUUUAAACUCCAAUGGGGAAAAAAAAAAGUAGUUCAUUCUGUCUCUGACCAAAGGUUCAAAAAUACACGGAUGUUGCAAUGGUAAUGCUGUUUCUAAUAAAUAUAAAGUUUUUUCCA
rnacentral:lncRNA from 1 species